GACGAACGCUGGCGGCGUGCUUAACACAUGCAAGUCGAACGCUGAAGCUCAGCUUUUGUUGGGUGGAUGAGUGGCGAACGGGUGAGUAACACGUGAGUAACCUGCCUCCUUCUUUGGGAUAACGCCCGGAAACGGGUGCUAAUACUGGAUAUUCACUGGUCUUCGCAUGGGGGUUGGUGGAAAGGGUUUUUCUGGUGGGGGAUGGGCUCGCGGCCUAUCAGCUUGUUGGUGGGGUGAUGGCCUACCAAGGCUUUGACGGGUAGCCGGCCUGAGAGGGUGACCGGUCACAUUGGGACUGAGAUACGGCCCAGACACCUACGGGAGGCAGCAGUGGGGAAUAUUGCACAAUGGGCGCAAGCCUGAUGCAGCGACGCCGCGUGAGGGAUGGAGGCCUUCGGGUUGUGAACCUCUUUCGCUCAUGGUCAAGCCGCAACAAUGGUUGUGGUGAGGGUAGUGGGUAAAGAAGCGCCGGCUAACUACGUG
rnacentral:rRNA from 1 species